UAGUUUUGAAAGCUCUAUAAACUAUUCAGUUCUCUUCAAAAUGAAAGGCAAAACAAAAUCCCUGUAAGAAAACAGGAAGAGCUGGUCCUCAAAUAAAUACAUAAGUUUUUCACAUAUCUACCCCCAAGGAUGAUUUUGUUAGAAUCAGUACACAAAUGUCCUUUGAGAAUGAUGAGUGCUCUAGUCAAACACUUCAGGUCUCUCUUAUGCUGGCUGAUACAUGGACUCUCUCUUUUUUUUCUCUUUCUCACACAAACAUUAUGUGUCUAUCAAUCUAGCUGCUAGCUGGCAGUGCUCUGUUACCCCAAA
rnacentral:lncRNA from 1 species